UUUGACGGUGAUUAGCCCUAACAGACCUGUAAUGAUUCUUGCGGAUACGAUCGCUUGAUCAAAGAACAUCUAAGGGACUGAGUAAUA
rfam:Oryza sativa Japonica Group DNA, chromosome 4, cultivar: Nipponbare, complete sequence.